UGGCGGCACGCCUAACACAUGCAAGUCGAGCGAGGUAGCAAUACCUAGCGGCAGACGGGUGAGUAACAUGUGGGAAUCUACCUUGUGGUUCAGGACAACAUUGGGAAACCGAUGCUAAUACCGGAUAAGUCCUAACGGAGAAAGUUUUAAUGCCAAAAGAUGAGCCCGCAUUUGAUUAGUUAGUUGGUGAGGUAAUGGCUCACCAAGACAAUGAUCAAUAGCUGAUCUGAGAGGAUGAUCAGCCACACUGGGACUGAGAUACGGCCCAGACUCC
rnacentral:rRNA from 1 species